rnacentral:tRNA from 1 species
GGAGCGGUGUCCGAGCGGUUGAAGGAGACGGCCUUGAAAGUCGUAGAGCUCGCAAGGGUUCCGAGGGUUCGAAUCCCUCCUGCUCCG